rnacentral:rRNA from 1 species
GGGAUUAGAUACCCCACUAUGCUUAGCCUUAAACUUAAAUGUUAAACUUACAAAAAACAUCCGCCAGGGUACUACGAGCGCUAGCUUAAAACCCAAAGGACUUGACGGUGUCUCAGACCCACCUAGAGGAGCCUGUUCUAGAACCGAUAAUCCCCGUUAAACCUCACCACCUCUUGUCUUACCCGCCUAUAUACCGCCGUCGUAAGCUUACCCUGUGAAGGAUUUACAGUAAGCAAAAUGGAAAAAUCCCAAAACGUCAGGUCGAGGUGUAGCUUAUGAAGUGGGAAGAAAUGGGCUACAUUUUCUGAAUCAGAAUAUACGAACGAUGCUAUGAAACUAGCAUCUAAAGGUGGAUUUAGUAGUAAAAAACAAAUAGAGAGUCUUUUUGAACCAGGCUCUGAGACGCGUACACACCGCCC